rnacentral:snRNA from 1 species
GGAUGUGAGGAUGAUCUGGUUGUGACAUCUGUCAUCCCAUUGAUCACCAGAGUUGAUUCAACUGAUCUGGCUGGUUAGGUGAGUGUCCCCUUCCUCCCUCACCACUCCAUGUGCAUCCCUUCCAAAGCUGCACACUCGGUCAAAGAGGAUGACCAUCCCUGAUAGAGGAGGACCAUUCUUCGGUCAAGGGUAUAUGAGUAGCUGCACUCCCCUGCUAGAACCUCCAAACAAGCUCUCAAGAAACCCUGUUUUGGUCAGGUGUGGAGAGUCAUGCCUGUUAUUCCAACACUUGGGAGGUUGAGACAGGAGGAUCAUGAGUUUAAGAUCAGCCUAGUUUCUCAAACUU